UGGGGAAUAUUGGACAAUGGGCGAAAGCCUGAUCCAGCCAUGCCGCGUGUGUGAAGAAGGUCUUCGGAUUGUAACGCACUUUAAGUUGGGAGGAAGGGCAUUAACCUAAUACGUUAGUGUUUUGACGUUACCGACAGAAUAAGCACCGGCUAACUCUGUGCCAGCAGCCGCGGUAAUACAGAGGGUGCAAGCGUUAAUCGGAAUUACUGGGCGUAAAGCGCGCGUAGGUGGUUUGUUAAGUUGGAUGUGAAAGCCCCGGGCUCAACCUGGGAACUGCAUCCAAAACUGGCAAGCUAGAGUACGGUAGAGGGUGGUGGAAUUUCCUGUGUAGCGGUGAAAUGCGUAGAUAUAGGAAGGAACACCAGUGGCGAAGGCGACCACCUGGACUGAUACUGACACUGAGGUGCGAAAGCGUGGGGAGCAAACA
rnacentral:rRNA from 1 species